AAUUUCUCCUCUCCAACCCCUCUCUCUCUCUCAAAAAAAAAAAAACAAACCUCCCGGCUAUCAUUCUCCCCUCCCCGCCGUGCUCCAAGAUCCCCGGAUGGAAGCCCUCGCCUUCGCCACAACGGCCGGCGGGAGCAGCCCCGCCCACCGAUUCCUUCUCUCCCGAACGCUCAGGCCCUCUCCCUAUUUCUACCGUCACAUUCCCCCACGACGCCGCCCAACCCCCCAUUCCCUCUCAGUUCUCUCCAUCUCGCCUUCUCUCCGCUUACGCCGCCUCCUCCCUCCCCGAUCUCUUGCCUGCAAAGCCCAUGGCCAUGGCGAUCACGACGACGAUCACCACCACCACCACCACGGCCACGGUCACGGCCAUGGAGGGGAAGGGGAGCUUAAUAGGGCUCAGGAGGGGAUCCUUCGAUUUGCCAAGGCCGUGGGGUGGGCGGACCUGGCGGAUCUUUUGAGAGAGCACCUGCAGCUGUGCUGCUGCUCCAUGGCGCUGCUGCUCCUCGCCUCCGCCUGCCCGUAUGCCCUCCCUGAUCGAGCUGCGAAGCCCUUGCAGAAUGGUCUUAUUGCCAUCGCGUUCCCUCUUGUCGGGGUUUCAGCAGCUCUUGAUGCUGUUCUAAAUCUUGCUGGUGGGAAAGUAAAUAUCCAUGUUCUCAUGGCUCUUGCAGCCUUUGCAUCAAUAUUCAUGGGAAACUCAUUGGAAGGUGCCCUGCUUCUUGCAAUGUUUAACCUGGCCCACAUUGCGGAAGAGUAUUUCACAAGCCGAUCAAUGAUCGAUGUGAAGGAACUCAAGGACAGCCACCCAGAUUUUGCACUGCUUCUGGAAGUGAAUGGUGAUAGACCACCUCAAUUCUCAAAAUUGAAUUACACAAAAAUUCCAGUGCACGACCUUAAAGUGGGUUCUUUUAUACUCGUCAGGGCUGGUGAGGCCGUGCCUGUGGAUGGGGAGGUCUUUCAAGGUUCAUCUACAAUUACCAUUGAACAUUUAACUGGAGAAACUAAACCUCUAGAAAGAAAGGUUGGAGAUAGUAUUCCUGGGGGUGCUAGGAAUUUGGAAGGAAUGAUGAUUGUUAAGGCAACAAAGUCUUGGAAGGAUUCGACAUUAAACAAGAUUGUGCAGUUGACCGAAGAAGGGAAGCUAAAUAAGCCAAAGUUACAAAGGUGGCUAGAUGAAUUCGGGGAGCAUUAUAGCAAGGUUGUUGUUGCUCUAUCUUUGGUGGUUGCUCUGAGUGGACCAUUUCUUUUUAAGUGGCCCUUCAUAGGAAACUCAGUUUCCAGGGGUUCAAUUUACCGUGCUUUGGGGCUUAUGGUUGCAGCAUCUCCAUGUGCAUUGGCUGUAGCCCCUUUAGCAUAUGCUAUUGCAAUCAGUGCCUGUGCUAAGAAGGGAAUUUUGCUCAAAGGUGGGCAUGUAUUAGAUGCCCUUGCAGCUUGUCAGUCUAUUGCAUUUGAUAAAACCGGGACUCUGACAACAGGGAAGCUUAUGUGCAAGGCAAUUGAGCCCAUUCAUGGGCAUUUGGAAGGAAGGAUCAGAUCUGAGGUUCCAUCGUGUUGUAUCCCAAAUUGUGAAAGUGAAGCUCUAGCUGUUGCUGCAGCAAUGGAAAAAGGAACUACUCAUCCUAUUGGAAGAGCAGUUGUAGAUCACAGUCUAGGGAAAGACCUUCCAGACAUUUCUGUUGAAAGCUUUGAGUGUGUGCCUGGCAGAGGUCUUUUUGCGACAUUGGCUGGUAUCAAGUCACUAACUGGAGAUAAAGAGCUUUUAAAGGCAUCGCUUGGUUCUGUCGAGUAUGUUGCCUCAUUGUGUAAAUCUAGUGUUGAAUCCUCAAAAAUAAAGGAAGCAGCGAGGACAUCUGCUUAUGGUAAUGAUUUUGUUCAAGCUGCUCUCUCUGUCGAUAAGAAGGUAACUCUCUUCCAUUUUGAGGAUGAGCCCCGACAUGGUGUUGCAGAAGUAAUAUCUACUUUAAAAGAUCAAGCACAGCUUCGUAUAAUGAUGCUGACCGGUGACCAUGAGUCAAGUGCAAGGAGAGUUGCUGAUACUGUAGGCAUUAAUGAAGUGCAUUGCUGCUUGAAGCCUGAGGAUAAGCUCAACAAAGUAAAAAGUGCUUCUAGAGAUACAGGUGGAGGAUUGAUAAUGGUAGGGGAUGGUAUCAAUGAUGCACCUGCACUUGCCGCUGCAACUGUGGGUAUCGUGUUGGCUCAACGUGCUAGUGGAACUGCAAUAGCUGUUGCAGACGUGCUGUUAUUGCAGGAUAACAUUUCUGGUGUUCCAUUUGUUAUAGCCAAAGCUCGCCAAACAACAUCAUUGUUUGGGUACUUGCAGGUCAAGCAAAGUGUUGCGCUUGCUUUAUCUUGCAUUUUUUUUGCUUCUCUUCCUUCAGUGUUGGGUUUUCUUCCUCUUUGGUUGACGGUUCUUCUUCAUGAAGGAGGGACCCUUCUCGUCUGCCUGAACUCAAUUCGUGCCCUUAAUAACCCGGCAUGGUCUUGGCUACAAGAUCUACAGCAGCUAGUGGAUAGACUGAGAAAGUCUGUGGCUGAUCUUUUCAAUAAGAGGCCUCCAAGGAAUCACGUAAUUCAGGCAGCUCCGUUAUAAUAUAUACUACAUCAAAUUUCACAGGUCCUGUUGCAAUUGAAUCAAUUUUUGAGAGAUGAUUCUAAAUUACGUGUGGAGGAUGAAUAUAUGCACAAAAUUGUAUCUUUUGUCUAUAUCAUCAGCAAUUAUAUUUUGAUGCAAAAACUACGACUGCAGUGCAUCACUUAGUUCUCAGGCAUCACAGGGUAGUGACAACAUUUCAAGCAAGUUGUUAGUGGAAAUACUCUGAGCAAGCACUUUCAUCAAUGAUAUAGACCUGCCCAUGACUGAUCUCCAAACCACUCUGUUAACAAAGUGGAUUCUAACUUGCUAACUGCAGCACUUGCAGCUCUUGUCUGUCAUCACUAACUUAACCACUUGCAAGGAAGAUUGUAACUUGUGUGCUACUGUUGGUCCAUUGGUUGCAGGUCUGGCACCCAGUCAUGUAAAAUUUAGUUUAUGGUAGAUUUGUUUUACUUGUGCAUGAUGGAAAAUGUGCAGAGAUAAGGCUCGAGUGCAUGGCAGGGCAUGAUAGCCCUCUCUGUUCCUGAAAAGGUGACUGCAGGUGGCUAGAGAUUAGGUCGGGGAUUGCUGCCUGCUUCAUGGGCUUUUUAAUCAGAACUUGGUCUUUAGAUGAAUCUCAUAUUAGGUGAGAAGCAUAGAUCUCUGCCCACAAACUGAUGGGUUAAAGCUCGAUUCAUAACCAUUUCGACAUACGUGUUUGCUACGGCAAGCAUAUCUUCAUCAAAACAAGCCCCCUCUUCUCUUGCCAAACACAUGAGUAACAUCUUUUUGCAAAAGCUUAGCCCAUAAACCCAAACAUCUUCACCUGCUACAUGAUCCGAGAAUGGCCAGGUCUCAAGAGGGGUUGAAUGAUUCACUGAGGAUUAGCUUCAUUGGUGCUGGCUUUUGGAAGAAGCGGAGGAAGGAUGCAUGUCAGUGAAUGGAGCAAAUGACAACUAAAUGAAACUAAGAAGGUAGGUGAUAUUGUUGUUUUCAGAAUAAUAAAUCAUAGAUGAUUAUUAUGCGCUCGACCUUGCUUUUGAUGUUAUGUUAUCCUAAAAGCACAAGUCAACAUAUGAUCAUUAUCUGCAAAAUUUUCAGAAUAAUAAAUCAUGGAUGAUUAUUGUG